CUGUAGAACCAAUGUGAAUGAAAUUGUUUUUAGUUAGUCACUGUACCAUUGUAACUUCUGUUCACCAUUUCAUUACACUUGCCAUUUUGCCUACAUUUUAACAUUGUAACUUCUGUGCAAUAUUGUAACUCAAAACCCAUUUUAAAAUGCUGACUCCAUUUUGUAGAAGGCUUGUGCUGCAGCCCCCAUUUUUGCAAGCCAUACUGUAAUUUUAUUAGUCUAGUUGAGAUGUGUGAAUGAGGUAUGCAUGGGUGAUAGAAUCAACCUCCAGCACCAGCCCGUCCUGAUGAGAUAAAGUUCAAAUACCAACGGCUGAAGAACUAGACAACAGCCCUAACUCAAGCAAGAAGCAUCCACCCUAAAAAGAAACAACAGAAGGAAGAUCAAAGCCAGGUCCCAGGCUGACAGUCACGCCUGCAACUGACGGGUGAUGAAGCAAACCCAGAGGCGGCGUGACACAGCGAGACCUAGGAACUUUGAAUCCAAACUAAACUCCUAUAAAAAGGGAAGGGUGAGAUAAAAGACUUUGGGUAACGUUCUGCUACCAACGUCAAGGAGCAUCGGUGCGCGCCCGACAGAGACCCGGCUCCUCCUCGUGCUCAGCUUUCCUGGCCAGUUAGCUGCCACGAGCUCCGAUCCCAAGCUGCGAACUCAAACUGCAAUCAGGACUGGUAACUACCCAGCAGCUGCAGAACAUUUUGGUGUGUGUGUGUGUGUGAGUGUAUGUGUAUAAGCAUUAAGGUAUUUGCUAAUAGUUACGGAUUAAUAAUAAAUGUGGCAUCUUUGUCUUAA